ACGGGACCCGCACAAGCGGUGGAUGAUGUGGUUAAUUCGAUGCAACGCGAAAACCUUACUACCCUUGACAUGUCCGGAAUCCCGAAGAGAUUUGGGAGUGCUCGCAAGAGAACCGGAACACAGGUGCUGCAUGGCUGUCGUCAGCUCGUGUCGUGAGAUGUUGGGUUAAGUCCCGCAACGAGCGCAACCCUUGUCAUUAGUUGCCAUCAUUUGGUUGGGCACUCUAAUGAGACUGCCGGUGACAAACCGGAGGAAGGUGGGGAUGACGUCAAGUCCUCAUGGCCCUUAUGGGUAGGGCUUCACACGUCAUACAAUGGUCGGUACAGAGGGUUGCCAACCCGCGAGGGGGAGCUAAUCCCACAAAGCCGAUCGUAGUCCGGAUCGCAGUCUGCAACUCGACUGCGUGAAGUCGGAAUCGCUAGUAAUCGUGGAUCAGCAUGUCACGGUGAAUACGUUCCCGGGUCUU
rnacentral:rRNA from 1 species